UUUUGUGCUCACGGCAGCCAGCAGCUUUUGACACCAAGAUCAGGGACAGAAUCCUGUGAUGUAAAUUUAGGAGCAGCAAAUUCGAGGACUGAUUAGUUAAUGAGGCUGUUAAGUCGCCUGUUUUUACUAAUUAAACGCAUAAUUCUUAACAGAUGGAAAUUUCUCCGACUGGGUGACAGAAUGAUUUUUGUUAACCUCUGUAAGGCUGGGAAGAAUUAAAGGGGUGUUCCAAGGCCUUGCGGGAACGGAAGGGUUAAACUUCGCCUGGUAUCCCACCAAUCCAUCCAAUAGCCACAUUAAAUCUGUUAAUACCAUGCACUUCAACCUCCCAAAAAUUAUUUCCAGAAGGCAGACUUGCUCCACGAGAUCAUCAAACAAGGCUUUAGGUUCACAUUUUCUCACAUUUUCCCUACCACAGAGCUCAGGAUGCGGAGGAGAAUUCAUGACUUUUACAGUGUUUAUUAUACUUUGUAAAAUUACGAAAUCAAAAGCGCCUGACAGCAAAACGCCGGAUCGGGCCAAAAAAGUUAAUAAUGUUCUGUGAAACGUAAACUGUAAAUGGGGGCAGGAUUUAAAAAUUUCAAAGCAAAAAAAGCAGAACAUACACAAAUUAUGGGUUUUGAAGAUUUGUAGUUUUGCUUACUUGAAACAUUUUUUUUCUUUUUUCUUUAUCAAAUGACUAUAAUUUGAAAUAAUUUUAUUUUUUUCCGAAAGCAAAGAGAUUUUCAAAAUGGAAGCAGCAGGCUUAUCCAAAUAAACGUGGCUGACGUAAAAAUUUUCAUCAAGAACGGUAUUCAUGAAGGUAUCUAGAGAGAACAACCCCUGUUUAAAUAAUGGUAAAGCUGAUCUGGUUCUGAUAAAAUCCAGCAGGGAACUAAUGAACACUCAAUAAAAAUUGGAUCAUAGUGAAGCACUUAGGAGGAUACGCCUUGAUUGUCAUGAACUUUAUGGAUAGUGUUUUUCUUUUUUUUUUCUUUUUUUACAAGACACCCCCUAUGAACAUUAGAAGAGAAGCAUCCCAAUGAGUUACUAUGUAUGUUCCUGUUGUAUAUAUUAUUUUGUGCUCUUGUGACGACAGUGGGUGGAUUGGA